GACGUAGGGCGCGAGCGUUGUCCGGAUUUAUUGGGCGUAAAGAGCUCGUAGGCGGCUCGUUGCGUCGGCUGUGAAAACCCGCAGCUCAACUGUGGGCUUGCAGCCGAUACGGGCGGGCUGGAGUUCGGUAGGGGAGACUGGAAUUCCUGGUGUAGCGGUGAAAUGCGCAGAUAUCAGGAGGAACACCGGUGGCGAAGGCGGGUCUCUGGGCCGACACUGACGCUGAGGCGCGAAAGCCAGGGGAGCGAACGGG
rnacentral:rRNA from 1 species